GUCAGGAUGGCCGAGUGGUCUAAGGCGCUGCGUUCAGGUGAGUCCACUUCUUGUGGGCGUGGGUUCGAAUCCACUUCUGACA
rnacentral:tRNA from 1 species